rnacentral:rRNA from 1 species
GACGAACGCUGGCGGCGUGCUUAACACAUGCAAGUCGAGCGGUAAGGCCCUUUCGGGGGUACACGAGCGGCGAACGGGUGGGUAACACGUGGGUGACCUGCCCUCAGCUCUGGGAUAAGCCUGGGAAACCGGGUCUAAUACCGGAUAUGACUCCAUGACGCAUGUUGUGGGGUGGAAAGCCUUGUGCGGCUGAGGAUGGGCCCGCGGCCUAUCAGCUUGUUGGUGGGGUGAUGGCCUACCAAGGCGACGACGGGUAGCCGGCCUGAGAGGGCGACCGGCCACACUGGGACUGAGACACGGCCCAGACUCCUACGGGAGGCAGCAGUGGGGAAUCUUGCGCAAUGGGCGAAAGCCUGACGCAGCGACGCCGCGUGAGGGAUGACGGCCUGG